rnacentral:rRNA from 1 species
UAGGGAAUAUUAGAAAUGGACGAAAGUCUGAUCUAGCAACACCGCGUGUGCGAGGAAGGCCUUCGGGUUGUAAAGCACUUUUUGGAAGGAUUAGGAAGGAAUGUACUUCCAGAAUAAGUCUCGGCUAACUACGUGCCAGCAGCCGCGGUAACACGUAGGAGGUAAACGUCAUCCGGAUUUACUGGGCGUAAAGCGCGUGUAGGUGGUUCUGUAAGUAGGGCGUGAAAGCUCCUGGCUCAACUGGGAGAGGCCGUUCUAAACUGCAGAGCUAGAGGAUGGUAGAGGGAGGUGGAACUCCGGGUGUAGCGGUGGAAUGCGCAGAUAUCCGGAGGAACACCAGUGGCGAAAGCGGCCUCCUGGACCAUUCCUGACACUCAGACGCGAAAGCUAGGGUAGCAAACG